UACGUAGGGGGCUAGCGUUGUCCGGAAUCAUUGGGCGUAAAGAGCGUGUAGGCGGUCCGGUAAGUCCGCUGUGAAAGUCGGGGGCUCAACCCUCGAAUGCCGGUGGAUACUGUCGGGCUAGAGUGCGGAAGAGGCGAGUGGAAUUCCUGGUGUAGCGGUGAAAUGCGCAGAUAUCAGGAGGAACACCGGUGGCGAAGGCGGAUCUCUGGGCCUUACCUGACGCUCAGGUGCGAAAGCUAGGGGAGCGAACAGG
rnacentral:rRNA from 1 species